rnacentral:rRNA from 1 species
GAUGCCGAUCAUACCAGCACUAAAGCACCGGAUCCGGAUCCCAUCAGAACUCCGAAGUUAAGCAUGCUUGGGCGAGAGUAGUACUAGGAUGGGUGGCCUCCUGGGAAGUCCUCGUGGUGCAUUC